rnacentral:rRNA from 1 species
AGCUCCAAUAGCGUAUAUUAAAGUUGUUGCAGUUAAAAGCUCGUAGUCGGAUUUUGGCAUCACGCCGAACUGUCAGCCGAUUGGUUUGUACGGUUUGGCGGGUGCUCUCCUUCCGGAAGCUCGUUCCCUUCUUAGUUGACGGGUUCGAUGGUUCCGGGUCUUUUACUUUGAAAAAUUAGAGUGUUCAAAGCAGGCCUAUGCUCUGAAUAGGUUAGCAUGGAAUAAUAGAAUAGGACUUUGGUUCUAUUUUGUUGGUUUCUAGGACAUACGCAAUGAUUAAUAGGGACAAUUGGGGGCAUUCGUAUUAACGCGUCAGAGGUGGAAUUCUUAGAUUGCGUUACGACGAACUACUGCGAAAGCAUUUGCCAAGGAUGUUUUCA